UUGUGGUUAAAAAGCUCGUAGUUGGACCUCGGCGGACUGAGGGCGGUUUGCUUGCUAGUAUUACUGCCCUAUAGUCCGUAGUUUUGCCAGAGGUUUCGGGGUGCUCUUAGUCGAGUGUCCCGGGAUGCUGGCAGGUUUACUUUGAAAAAAUUAGAGUGCUCAAAGCAGGCUAUUACGCCUGAAUAUUCGUGCAUGGAAUAAUAGAAUAGGAAGUCGUUUCUAUUUUGUUGGUUUUCGGAAAUCGACUUAAUGAUUAAUAGGGACAGUCGGGGGCAUUUGUAUUCAAACGACAGAGGUGAAAUUCUUGGACCGUUUGAAGACAAACUACUGCGAAAGCAUUUGCCAAGAAUGUUUUCAUUAAUCAAGAACGAAAGUUAAAGGUUCGAAGGCGAUUAGAUACCGCCCUAGUUUUAACCAUAAACGAUGCCAGCUAGCGAUCUGCGGACGUUUUUUUUGUAGACUCCGCAGGAAGCUUCCGGGAAACCAAAGCAUUUGGGUUCCAGGGGAAGUAUGGUUGCAAAGCUGAAACUUAAAAGGAAUUGACGGAUAGGGCACCACCAGGAGUGGAGCCUGUGGCUUAAUUUGACCCAACACGGGAAAUCUCACCAGGCCCGGACCCUGGAAGGAUUGACAGAUUGAUAGCUCUUUCU
rnacentral:rRNA from 1 species